GCAUGAAAGAAAGUGGGCCAGUGUGAGACUGGAGAGGAAACCUCAUUACUUCCCAGAGAGAAGCAGGGGCUGCUCUUCAGGUGGAGUGGUGCUCAGGAAAUUCCAGAACAUGGUUGCAUGAGAAUCCAAUGGAACAGCUACUGAGUGGCAACGACCAACUCAGAGGGUGGGGAGGGACUUGAGAACCACUUGGAUACCAUGAGGAAACGGAGUUUGCUUUGGAAUUUGAGGACGGAGGAGCAAUGGAGAACCAAGAACUCCUGCAUACCUCGCUGUCCAGGAUGCAGUAGGCUUUCCAUAACGUUUGUGGACCAUUUCCUCUUGCCAUUAGUCAACUGGCCAGAGAGGGUCGUCCUGACCAUCAAGAGGAACAAACUUAUACCAGCAGCUGUCAGCCUC